rnacentral:tRNA from 1 species
GCCACGGUGGUCUAGUUAGAACGCUGGCCUUGUAAUCCUGGGGUCUCGGGUUCGAUUCCCGGCGGUGCCC